rnacentral:rRNA from 1 species
GUAGGUGGCAAGCGUUGUCCGGAUUUACUGGGCGUAAAGAGCGCGCAGGCGGUCGUUCAAGUCGCGUGUGAAAGCCCCCGGCUCAACUGGGGAGGGUCACGCGGUACUGAUCGACUCGAAGGCAGGAGAGGGAAGUGGAAUUCCCGGUGUAGUGGUGAAAUGCGUAGAUAUCGGGAGGAACACCAGUGGCGAAGGCGACUUCCUGGCCUGUUCUUGACGCUGAGGCGCGAAAGCUAGGGGAGCAAACGGGAUUAGAUACCCCGGUAGUCCUAGCCGUAAACGAUGGACACUAGGUGUUGGUGGUAUCAACCCCGCCAGUGCCGAAGCUAACGCAUUAAGUGUCCCGCCUGGGGAGUACGGCCGCAAGGCUA